rnacentral:rRNA from 1 species
GACGAACGCUGGCGGCGUGCCUAAUACAUGCAAGCCGAGCGGACGAUUCGAAAGCUUGCUUUUGAAUCGUUAGCGGCGGACGGGUGAGUAACACGUGGGCAACCUGCCCUGUAGACGGGGAUAACACCGAGAAAUCGGUGCUAAUACCGGAUAACACGAAAUGUCGCAUGACGUUUCGUUGAAAGGCGGCGCAAGCUGCCGCUACAGGAUGGGCCCGCGGCGCAUUAGCUAGUUGGUGAGGUAACGGCUCACCAAGGCGACGAUGCGUAGCCGACCUGAGAGGGUGAUCGGCCACACUGGGACUGAGACACGGCCCAGACUCCUACGGGAGGCAGCAGUGGGGAAUAUUGCACAAUGGGCGGAAGCCUGAUGCAGCAACGCCGCGUGCGGGAUGACGGCCUUCGGGUUGUAAACCGCUUUCGCCUGUGACGAAGCGUGAGUGACGGUAAUGGGUAAAGGAGCACCGGCUAACUACGUG